UGAACCUGGCCGCAGACGGGAUAUGUGCACCGUGCCAUGGUCCAUGUGAAGGGGCUCAUCCAGUGCUGCGAUAGCUGGGGUUCCCAGCAUCAGCAGGGACCAUGGAGACCGCUUUUGGCUAAGGUGUAUGACCCAUAGGUCCAACAGAUGAUUAAGAACCAGCCACAAACGGCCAAGGCAUCAGGAGCCGCAGCUGCCCCCCUAUUCCUGGGCUGUAUCCGUGUUCCCGCGGCUCUACGGGGGGAGCAGAGUUGCAGCUGGGAAGGCUCUGUGCCAGGGUUGUCGUCACACGGUCGCUAGCUGCCGUUGAUACAAUAGCUGUUCAGAGACUUUGCCGGUACUGGUGGUAUAUUGAAACUUCAGUUCGCAAAGGUCUGAAGGGAUACGUAAGGGUUGCAGGCAGAGAAGCCACCAAAGGAGCUCUGUGCGUGCUAAACCCAGGACUGAAGGCACGAGGAACCCAAGCAGACCUGGAUGCAGCACAGUGAUGAGAAGCAGGGUUUACUAAUUCAGCCAGUGUCACACAAGC